rnacentral:tRNA from 1 species
GGGGCUAUAGCUCAGUUGGGAGAGCGCUUGCAUGGCAUGCAAGAGGUCGUCGGUUCGAUUCCGUCUGGCUCCACCA